UACGUAGGUGACUAGCGUUGUCCGGAUUUACUGGGCGUAAAGCGUGCGCAGGCGGUGAUGUAAGACAGAUGUGAAAUCCCCGGGCUCAACCUGGGAACUGCAUUUGUGACUGCAUCGCUGGAGUGCGGCAGAGGGGAAUGGAAUUCCGCGUGUAGCAGUGAAAUGCGUAGAGAUCUGGAGGAACACCGAUGGCGAAGGCAGCCUCCUGGGCUAGUACUGACGCUCAUGCACGAAAGCGUGGGGAGCAAACAGG
rnacentral:rRNA from 1 species